GUGAUCGUGUCUCUUCAGAAAAUCUGGACUAAACCACUAGAUUCAUAGGAUUACUUUUACAAUCUCUUUAUGAACUUUUUGAAGCAUCAAAUUGGUAGUUGUAGCUAUCAAUGAAGAGUACAGAACUGGCUCAAAUUUUAUUAAAAAUAUCUUCAUUUUUGUUCCAAAGAUUGUAGAAAGUUUUAAGGGUUUGGAACGACAUGAGGUAAGCACUGUAACUGCAGCUGAUUCUCACAGCUCUUCCUGAGCAAUUGCCAAAAUUCUCUAUGGAACAAUCAGAAAAUCGGGGACAAUUUCUGGGACGCACAAAACCUCACGAGAGGCCAUCAAAAAGCUAUUUAACAUUUGCCUUUACAACAGAAGAGGGUCAAAGACAUGCUGCAAGACCCUUAAGUGUAAUCUCUGUCCCCAUGGAUUCAUCCUCAUCCCAGAGCCUGCAGAGAGGGACACGCUUCUACAGCCCACUCUUGAUAUGACCACAGUAAUAAAGAGCAGAACUGGGGUGAAUGAGAGACAAAUAGAGAGAUAGAGCUGGAGAAGAUAGAAAAAGUCAGA